UUAGCAAGGUGAGUGAUUGCUGUUUACGCAAGUAAGCAGAGGAAAGUCCGAACACCCUCCGCCGAUGAGGCGGAUAAAAUAAUAGCGGCUAACGGCCGUCCACAGUAAUGUGCGAGGUGCGAACAGUAACGCCAAAACCGAAAGGUUGCGGAGUCCGCAAGGACUAGGUUUGCAGAAAUGCAAAUAUGAAACGGCUAAAUCCUUAUUGGGCGCAAGAACAAAGCAGAAAUUCAGGUUACAUCUUGGAAAUCUGUUAAAAGUAGUUCGCUUGACCCUGAGAGUAAUCGAAUGGGCAGAUAGAUAAUCACAUAACACAGAAUUCGGCUUACAGCCCUGCUAAUCCA
rnacentral:RNase_P_RNA from 1 species